rnacentral:rRNA from 1 species
UACGUAGGUGGCGAGCGUUGUCCGGAUUUACUGGGCGUAAAGGGCGUGCAGGCGGUUUGUUAAGUCUAGGGUGAAAGCUCCCGGCUCAACUGGGAGAGGUCCUUGGAUACUGGCGAACUUGAGGGAUGCAGAGGAAAGUGGAAUUCCCGGUGUAGUGGUGAAAUGCGCAGAUAUCAGGAAGAACACCCGUGGCGAAGGCGGCUCUCUGGGACGGUACUGACGCUGAGACGCGAAAGCGUGGGGAGCAAACAGG